CCCUUAGAUGUUCUGGGCCGCACGCGCGCUACACUGAUCAGUGCAACAAGCAUCCGUCCUUGGCCGACAGGCCCGGGCAAUCUUUGAACGCUGAUCGUGAUGGGGAUAGACUUUUGCAAUUUUUGGUCUUCAACGGGGAAUUCCUAGUAAACGCAAGUCAUCAACUUGCAUUGAUUACGUCCCUGCCCUUUGUACACACCGCCCGUCGCACCUACCGAUUGAAUGGUCCGGUGAAGCCUCCGGAUUGGCGUGCACCCUCGGGUGCUGCCGAGAAGUUGGCUAAACCUUACCAUUUAGAGGAAGGUGAAGUCGUAACA
rnacentral:rRNA from 1 species